rnacentral:lncRNA from 1 species
UUAUAGCAGGAGUUGUCUGCGUACUUUAUUAUCCUUGCAUGGAAAUAAAAAAAUAAUGGCAUACAUUAACAUAAGCUGUUAAACAUUAAACAGUCACUACAGCACAACAGCUCCAUUAAUGCCAGCCAAAUGAUCCAUGAUGCAUCAUUGCAUCUCCUCUCUUUUUUUGGCCCUUGUUCCAAAGAGUAAAAAAAUAGUACAUGCAAUUAUAAUUAAAAAGUUUCUUCACCAUCAAUGAAUUAAACUUUAUUUCUAAUUUACUUAGACAGAACAAAAAUGAAAAAAACCUUUCCACUGUCUAUACAUAAAAGCUAAAUUUUAUUCCAAAAACAUUAUGGAAUUGGAAACACGUUAGCCAAAAUUAUUUUCUUUGAGAUAUUUCGUGGUAACAUAACUUACAUUCUUACAUAUGGUUAUUAACAAUACACCAGAAGAAACUGGUCCAUGAAAAUACGUCACAAACUUUCACAAGAAAAGAAAUGGGAGAAAGAACAUGUAAAUAAGUAAAAAACUCAAAAAAGAAAAAAAUUAUAUAUACACAGAUUACAGAGAGAGCUUGAAAUAAACAAGGCAAAAAAAAAAAAAAAGAUCCCUCAGAACUAUAAAUUUCCACUUAUCUGUUAUGCAAAGGAUUAGGACCAGUGUAGAUUAUCCUUUUCUCAUCACCAAGAACUGCUUCACCAUCACCUUCACCUGUGUUCUGUCGUGAUUUUCCUUUAAAGGGGCUAAGAUUUGACAAAGGCUGAGUUCUAAAGCUUUGAGAUUUUGCAUACCCAUUAGCAGUAGAUGAUGAGAUUUUGAACAAGAACAGAAUCAACAGUAGAAUUGAGAAACAAGCCUGACUCAUCAGCCUCAUGCUCUCAACAAGGCACAGAUCGUGCAUGGAAAACUUAUAUAAUUGGCUCAAACCCCCGUAAAGAAAGAAACAGAUUAAACUAGUAGCUUCUUUUGGAUCUGAUUCAAAAAGGGUGUCACUAAAAAUACUUAGAAACAAAAAAUAAUAAAGCUUAAGAGGAAGGGAAGCAAAGUGGUACUAGUAGUUAAUUUGGAGGAGGGUGUGAUGUGUGUGUCUGAUGUGGUGGUCCUUUUUGGUCAGAGUGUGAUUUUGGCUAACUUGUAUGCGGAUUGGAUUAUUUUGAAUUGGAUGGUGUGAGUAACCUUGAAGUGUGAGCUCUGAAAAUGAGUAGAGUCAAUGAAUGUGCAUAGGGGUUGGUGCCUUAAUGCAAAUAAAUAUGGUGCAGAAUGUGUUUGGAUGCCUUUUUAAUUACUACUUGGGAAACAACUGUGGACCAGAGAGACAGAAGAGAGAGCCUUUGCUGCUUCUGUUGGAGCUUGCUUAGGUGAUGUUGCUG